CAGUUCGGAUUGCAGGCUGCAACCCGCCUGCAUGAAGUUGGAAUUGCUAGUAAUCGCGGAUCAGCAUGCCGCGGUGAAUACGUUCCCUGGCCUUGUACACACCGCCCGUCACACCAUGGGAGCCGGUAAUACCCGAAGUCAGUAGCCUAACCGCAAGGGGGGCGCUGCCGAAGGUAGGAUUGGCGACUGGGGUGAAGUCGUAACAAGGUACC
rnacentral:rRNA from 1 species